GCGGCAGUUUUGAGAUGUAAGCAGACAAAUGAACGUUGGGCAGGGUGCCCAGUGGAGUAAUUUUAUCAAAUAAAGUAUUAUGACCAAAAUGCCCCUAGAAUGUGCCUUUAUUCACGGCAUGCCCUUGGGACGUGCGGAGAACAGGGGAACUAAUAAGGAAAGAAGGGAGGGGUGUUUUGGUAACUAUGCAUUUCAACGGCCAAUACAACCUUAGGAAGGGAACUGUGGCACUGGAAUCAAUCUGUCAGAGAAGAGCAUUCCAGGGGAAACUGCCAAAAAUAUCCUCCCUUUUGGACAACUAUACCCUUCUCAAAC